GACGAACGCUGGCGGCGUGCUUAACACAUGCAAGUCGAACGGAAAGGCCCUGCUUUUGUGGGGUGCUCGAGUGGCGAACGGGUGAGUAACACGUGAGUAACCUGCCCUUGACUUUGGGAUAACUUCAGGAAACUGGGGCUAAUACCGGAUAGGAGCUCCUGCUGCAUGGUGGGGGUUGGAAAAUUUCGGCGGUUGGGGAUGGACUCGCGGCUUAUCAGCUUGUUGGUGGGGUAGUGGCUUACCAAGGCUUUGACGGGUAGCCGGCCUGAGAGGGUGACCGGCCACAUUGGGACUGCGAUACGGCCCAGACUCCUACGGGAGGCAGCAGUGGGGAAUAUUGCACAAUGGGCGGAAGCCUGAUGCAGCAACGCCGCGUGCGGGAUGACGGCCUUCGGGUUGUAAACCGCUUUCGCCUGUGACGAAGCGUGAGUGACGGUAAUGGGUAAAGAAGCACCGGCUAACUACGUG
rnacentral:rRNA from 1 species